UUGAUCUCCUCUGUUCCUGUUAACUGGCAUUUCUUAGUUAUUUUAUGAAGUAAGGAAAUAGCUUUCUGAUCAGGUUUUGUUACGUUCUUAUAGCCUUCUCCUGCUUUGUAGGAUUUUUUUUUUCUCAGAGCGGUAGGUCGAAGGCCGGGGAUGUCCACACCUGCUAAUAAAACUAUGAAAUUUGCAUCACCUACAAUUUAUACAAAUCCCACAUAGUAAAUUUGCAUGUUAAUGUUUACACUGUUACUGUUAAAUUAACUGUAAUAAUGUUACCAUAUAAUACUCACUGUGUUGAUUUAACACUAAACAUGUUAAUUUAGCACUGUCAAAUUUUUCUGUGUAGAUUAAUAAGAGUUUGUAAAGGAACUUCUUGAGUUUCUCUGAGUGAUAAAUUGCCUGAGUGAACCCUUCUGUCUACCCCUUUCCUCCAAACUCUUACAUUUCCCUUCUAAGCUGUUUUAGUCUAAUUCCUCUAAAGAACAGCCAUACUACUCUCUCCCACUGAUAUUUACCCCACUCCUUUUCCGACAGGCCCCGCCCCUGCGCUCCCUGGGAUUGGCUAAUGAGAUCCGCCACCUGCUUUAGGAUUGGCUGGUUGUUCAGGAUCACCUGCACUCUCUCCAUCUGAAUAUGAGCUAUCAGCCAAUCCUAGCAAAGGGAGUCUGAUUACUGGUGGAGGAAAAAACUCGUGAAUCCUGCUUCGCUAUCGGUACCGAGCAGACAUCCGGGCUCAGGAAACAAGUGGGCCGGCCCGCGUGCGCCUGCGGGAGAACCGCAAAUAAACGAGCUCGAGAGAAUGAGAGAGAGAGAGGGAGAGAGAGAGAGCACAGCCCUGCAGGAUGAACACUAAGAGUCGAAAACACCUGAGAAGUAAGAAUAAGUGGAGCGGGAUUGAAAAGUGUGGGACUUACCAGCCGGCGUUUGGGUCUGAUGAGAGGUCUGUUCUGGCCAUUCAUCUUGUGAUAGAGUCCACAAGCAUUACACAAGUAAUGACCGGUGCCGUCCCGCCGCCACAAAGGAGUGGAAGUAGCCCCACAAUUAACACACUCUCGUCCCUCUGACAUAAGCACGCACACACACAAACACACACACACAAACACAAGAGAUAAGUCAGGACAGGAAAUUGGAAGCAGUCAACUUUUCACCUUUUGCAUCUAGAACAUAGUUGAACCUGUGUAUUUAGAUCUGUGUUAGUUAUGAAGUUACAAAUAGACAUGUUUAAGUUAGGACACAAGUUUUUACUGUGCAUCACACAUCAACACUGAUGUUUAAACACUUCACCUACAGGUAAGUGUGGUUCUUUGGUUCUUUUACAGCGUCACUCCAAUUAACACUUUUCCCAACAUAACUUUCCAAUAAAUAGAUGUGCCCAAGUUUAUCUAAACUUUUUUAGCUUUUUGGAAAGGGCUUUUACCACAUUGCAACUAUUGCAAACACAUACAAUGGUAGGAAUGUGUUUGUUAAACUCUGCUUUCUUGGUGAUCAUGUUUAAGAUCUGGUAAAGGAAACUACUAGGAAACUAAAUAAGUACUAUGAAAUGUCCUAAAUGUCCAGAUUUAAUAGAUAACAUUAUACCCUUUGACCCUGCUCUAUUCAGACAAUUUCAGUCAGUUAUAGCCUAAAUGUUUACACUAAAACUAAAAGGUUUCCACAUAUGUUUGAUAUAGAUGAUUAAAAAUAAAUAUAUGUCAAAAAA